rnacentral:rRNA from 2 species
AGGCCCGGGGCGGGGGUUGCCUAAUACAUGCAAGUCGAACGAACUCUGGUAUUGAUUGGUGCUUGCAUCAUGAUUUACAUUUGAGUGAGUGGCGAACUGGUGAGUAACACGUGGGAAACCUGCCCAGAAGCGGGGGAUAACACCUGGAAACAGAUGCUAAUACCGCAUAACAACUUGGACCGCAUGGUCCGAGCUUGAAAGAUGGCUUCGGCUAUCACUUUUGGAUGGUCCCGCGGCGUAUUAGCUAGAUGGUGGGGUAACGGCUCACCAUGGCAAUGAUACGUAGCCGACCUGAGAGGGUAAUCGGCCACAUUGGGACUGAGACACGGCCCAAACUCCUACGGGAGGCAGCAGUAGGGAAUCUUCCACAAUGGACGAAAGUCUGAUGGAGCAACGCCGCGUGAGUGAAGAAGGGUUUCGGCUCGUAAAACUCUGUUGUUAAAGAAGAACAUAUCUGAGAGUAACUGUUCAGGUAUUGACGGUAUUUAACCAGAAAGCCACGGCUAACUACGUGCCAGCAGCCGCGGUAAUACGUAGGUGGCAAGCGUUGUCCGGAUUUAUUGGGCGUAAAGCGAGCGCAGGCGGUUUUUUAAGUCUGAUGUGAAAGCCUUCGGCUCAACCGAAGAAGUGCAUCGGAAACUGGGAAACUUGAGUGCAGAAGAGGACAGUGGAACUCCAUGUGUAGCGGUGAAAUGCGUAGAUAUAUGGAAGAACACCAGUGGCGAAGGCGGCUGUCUGGUCUGUAACUGACGCUGAGGCUCGAAAGUAUGGGUAGCAAACAGGAUUAGAUACCCUGGUAGUCCAUACCGUAAACGAUGAAUGCUAAGUGUUGGAGGGUUUCCGCCCUUCAGUGCUGCAGCUAACGCAUUAAGCAUUCCGCCUGGGGAGUACGGCCGCAAGGCUGAAACUCAAAGGAAUUGACGGGGGCCCGCACAAGCGGUGGAGCAUGUGGUUUAAUUCGAAGCUACGCGAAGAACCUUACCAGGUCUUGACAUACUAU